UGCUCUAUGACACGUGGGAUCUUAAUUCCCCAACCAGGGAUUGAACCAGCGUCUCCUGCAUUGAAAGGCAGAUUCUUAAUCACUGGACCAUGAGGGAAGUCUCUCAGAAGAGUUUUCAUGAAAGAUCCAAGGGAAUGCUGUGUGAGUGUUUCCCACAGAGCGAGGGUGGCAUCUGCCUAGCUGGAGGGCUGGCAGCACACUGAAUCUGCCUGCAGUGGAUUCUGAAACAUAGAAUUGUGGCUAGUGGGAUGUCAAACAGGAUGAGACUGAGAGCUGCUUGCCGUGAUGGAGAUUUCAGUUGUCAGCCUUGAGACCACGGGGCUCAGGAGGGAUGGAGAUUACGGAACCUGCCAUCACAAGAAGGACAAACGAACAGCGGAACAAGGGGGGCAUCCAGAUUGUCUGAGGAAGAGGAGCAAUCAGGGACACAGCCGAGGUCCAGCCCCGGGAGGAAGUGUCAGCAGAAAUCACAGCCAGCCCUUGAGCGUGCACUUUGUCUCUUUCCUAUUCAUGAUCUCAUUCUACCACAUGUGAAGGUGGAGUCG
rnacentral:lncRNA from 1 species